CGUCCCCGCUCCGGCGGCCCUUCCUGGCCCGGGGCGACCAGCGAGCCGAGCCCCGCGGAGGGCAUCCCCGACCGCCCUCGGGACCCGGGGAGGAGGAAUAACAAAUUUCUAUAAUCCUCUGUGAAACAGUGGACUGAAGAAACUACCUUGAAGUUCAAGUAAAGAAGUCUGUACCUCCAGGGACAUCUUCAGUGAUGGGGAAUCUCAUUCCAAAAUUUAUGGGUUAUGCUAAAAGAGCUGCAUAAGUAGUUUCUUUAAUGAAGACAUGGCACGGUGUGGCCCCAGGAAUUUCAACCACAAUGAAUGAUUUAACAGAGACCAGACUUGGUCUUUAAGCAGCACAAAUGUCUGCCACAUGUUCCUAUUUGGAAAAGAGGGGAGAAAAAGUCAUGUUACCUUUUAAAAGAUGACAUAUUAUUGCAGAAGCAAAGUUCUGUGGCAGGAUGAAGAGGCGAUUUCUGUAAAUAACGUUUUUUAUCACAAGUUUUAAAUUAUAACAAAUAUGAAGUAAAGAUGUUUAAGCCAUGACAGGCUGUGUAUGCCACUGUGUUCUGGAAAAAUGUUUUGUAAUUCACUUCUCUUUAAUUAACUGUAAAUCAAAGACAGUUAACCUAAACCAAAUGCAAAUCCCUUGAAAUCAACUAAGAACAUUUAAAUCCUUCAUCUUUAUGUCCAGUAUCCCAUGGCAAGAUACUCUUUAGCACAGUACAAGGCUAUCAUAGGAGAACAAGCUAAAAAAAGCAUUUGCUACGAAGGCCAGCUAUACUUCUACAUUAGCAUGAUGUUAAUAUUCCCCCAUCUUUUAAUUGCCAGCUUGGUUUAUUUAUUUCAAGUUAAUGAUUGCUGUAAUUACUAAUAUACUGGUCAAUUACAGUACACGUCAAUAUCAUAUACCGUUGUUUGGAUUUUGAACCCCAUGGAAUAUUUUUUUUGUGGAGCAGAAUCUUGAGAAUGGAAAAAUGUGAUGGAUUCUCUUUGCCUGUUGGAAGUUGGAACAUGCGUUUUGUCAUGUUAUUCAGAACUAAAAAUGUAGACCACCUGGGCAGACAUGCUAUGUUAAAACGGCACUAGCUGUUAUUUUCUAUAUUUUCUAUAUAGCCAUUCAGCACAGGGAUAAGGCAAAACUUUGUAGCUUUACAUUUAAGUCAAUUUGAGAAACCAUUUCCUAAAAUAGACCAAGUGUUUUUACUAUUGGUAAUUCAGCCUGGAAUUGUCACUUGAUUAUGGAAAGGAAUAGUUUGAGUAUUCAUCUUCUAGAAGGGUACAGAAACUUUACAUAAAGAACAGCAGGAGACGAGUUUUCUCAUGUUUGAAUAAAAUGUCCUGCUUUAAGCAGAAUACCGACAGUAACAUUCUUUGGUAGUUCUAAAGCAAGGCAACUGAUUCAUCUAUAGACAACUUCAUCUUGACAUAAAGAAAAAGAGUAGUUUACAUUUUAUAGGGUUGUGUUUUUAUGUUUCUUUUUUCAUUUUUUUCAGUUUUGUUCCCCCCCACCCCCCCAUGGUUUUGCACAGUUAGUCUGAUUAGACAUUGUUUAGAAAUUAGUGGUCCAAACAGAAAGCUUUCAGUGAAGCAGAUCUAUCUGCUCCAAGUAAAUAUAUGGGAAGUCUUGCCCUGGGUAAGUACUCCAGGACUAUGCUAUAUGCAGUGUAGCCUGGCUUGAGUACAGGUUGCUAGAGGGGGAUUCAACACUGAAGUUAGAAUUUUUUUUGUGUAUUCACUCACAUAUUCGAUACUUGACUUGCUGGUCAAUUUCUCAUUUGGAAAAAUGUCAUUUGGAGUUUUUGCUCUUAAUUUAGUACCACUUUCUAAAUAGUAGCAGAGUUGUGAAUGUUAAAAAAAUGAUUUAUGUGUAUUGGGACUGUCUUUCAUCUAACUAGCAAUCAGAGCGAAUAUUUAACAUGCUGUGUGCAAACACUUAAGCAAUUAAGUGAAGUAAAAGCUGUCCGUAAGUGUUUGCUGAAUUGGGGCUUUAACCAGUAUAGGGAUCAGAUGCAUGUACUGAUAGAUCCCUUUUAGCUUUGAUAGUACAGUUCCUGACUUAUUUCAGACCUUAUUUAGUACAGUGCCUGUAUGACAGUUCUAGUGAAGAAGCUAACUGGUUUUGUAUUCUUUUUCUUUCAGGUUUAAUGUGAUAGCAUUUCCUGAAAAUGUCCUCACAUUUGUGGGAAAUCACUGUGACGUCCAGUCAUAAAAAUAAUCCACAGGCUUUCCACAAAAGUUUGAAAAUUACCUUUUCCCCCCUAAUAAAAAUGUUUGCUGAUGUAGUGUACUAGAAAACAAACAGCAUUUACAAAACCAGUAAUUAAUAAGAGUAAAUCAAAAGUGCUGCAAAAAUAAUUUUAAGGCACUUUUUUUUUUUUGCCGUUACGUAUGUUAGGAAUGAUCGCAUUGGGCUGGAAACUGCUUUUACUAUUUACUCAGUGUAAGUGAGAGCAGAAUCUGGUCUUCAUUAGUAGUAGUUGGGCAAGUAGAAUUUCCUUUAUACACUAUUUGCAUAAUUGCAGCCAGAUGAUUGAUUUCUCUGACAUUUUCUAGCUGGUUUCCUAUUCCAUGGCCUCUGUCUCAUACUCUGUAAGCCUAAGCAUGCCUACUAUGAUUUCUCCCCUUCUUUCCCUAGUUGUAUCUUGAGUGACAGAUUGAACAAGUCAGCUAAAGUGAUGAUACACGCCUUUCUAGCAAACAUUACCAGCAGAUGUAAAUCUACAAACCAGUUGCAUUAAAAGGAACCUUUAAUUGCUGUAAUUCCAUUUGUAUGGAUCUUGUUUAUACCUUAAAACUAAUUCAAAGGAAUUAUUAGCAAAAGAAUAACUGUUUUCUCAAUCAGUGUAAAAACCAUGAAAUAAAAUGGCAAUGCUGUGGACCAAGGCUGUCCAACUUCUGGAAAGCCAGAGGCUGCAGGCUCAGGGGCCACACACUGAAUGAGUAGAGUGGGCACCCUGACCAGUGCACCCCUGAUGUAUGCAUAGUGUGGGCAGUCUGGCUUCCACUUCUCUUGGCUGCUCACACUGCACUGGCUGCCCAGUGCCCCUCUGCCCUCACCACCACAUGCAUAAUAGCAUGGGCAGCCCCCACUCCCAUGGUACCAGCAGCCUGACUCUCCCCUGCUGCAUGCGCAGCACCUACUUAGUGUGGAUAGCCAUACUUCCUUUGUCACAUGUGCAGCUCAGGUGCUCCAGCCUGUUUCUAGCUCCUGGGGCAGGACCAACUGGGGGGAGGAGGAGGAAGAGUGGCAGCCAGUAAAGAGACCAUGGACUAUAUGCCAAUGUUUUAGGGGCCUCUUGCGGCCCACACACCACCAGUUGGACAGCCCUGCUGUGGACCAUACCUGUUUAAUAAUAUUUAUGCAGUAACAAAUGUGAAUUCCAUGCAAAAUGUAAUCCCUUGUAAAUAAAUAUCUGAGAAUUUCAAUUCCUAAAAAGAAUAAGUUAUUCACAUACAAGGUGUACCUUUCCUAUGCUGUUUGGUUAGCUAUCAACAUGGUUGCUUUCAGUACCUCUGCUUAUCUAUUGUUUAGGAGUAGCUUUUGCUUUUCUUGCUUUAUGGCAUCCAUUUAUGUUGCCUGCUCUACAGAUGCAUUAUAUUUUAUAAGUGCAGAGCUUAAGGUUGGCUUGUUCUAUGUCUAGUGACACCUAGCAUUUUUUACUGGAAUAAAAAUCUGAAGUUUUAGAGAGCUAUAUUUUUCCUAGCUUGAGCCUUUUGCAGGGAUUUUGGUACAGUUGUAAAAGUUAAAAAGGAGGAAGAAGAGGAUAACUGGUAUCUUUAGAGUAACUGUAGUAAGAGUUGCUUAAUAAAUCAGUGUUUAAAUGAUUUAUCUUGCAAUUGUUCUGUGGACCAAACCUGCAUUGGAUUGAAUAGGAUUUUUAUGUGUAUUUUGAGAAAACAGCAAGGGCUUAAAUCAUUCUUUAGAAAAAAGUACCACUUAAAUAGGAAAGUUUGGCCAAAUACUGCUUUCAGGCAAUUCACUGUAAACAUGGAAUAGUUCCACUAAUUUCCACUUCUACAGCUUAAACCAUUAUUUGGUAUGCACACUCUCUAGGGAUAUUCUGCAUUCAUAACCUGUGCAGUCUCAUUCUCUAUUCAUUUUGGCUCAAGAAAUGGGAAGUGUUGGGAUAUAUUUACUAAUGGGAAGUGCUGGAAUAUACUUACUAGAAUUAGUAUGCUCUUUUGUAUAUUAGAAGCUCUCUUAGCUUCCCAAGUUACUACCAUAUGCCCUGUAGGAAGGAGAAAAGGUAAUAUCUCAAUAGAAAAACAACAAACUACUAUAUAUUUAACCAAAAACAAACUAAAAUAAUGGUAGAUGGAAGGGGACUAAAAGUAGUAUUUUUAGCCAGAAACAAAAACACCGCCAACCUUGUUAAAAUGCUUUACUAAACAUGGUCUUAUGUGAAACUAUGUUAGGAAAGUGUGUAUAUUUUCAUAACGGAAGCACAUCUCAAACAAAUAGUGUUUUUCAAUAAGCUAGUUUAUUGCAGCAACCUGUGCUUUGCUUUUAAGUUUUAAUGUUAGUGAUGGAUAAAUACUAGGCAAAUUUGUGAAAAUUCAAUGAAACCAUGUUGAUGCAGCCACUUAUCUGUCACAAAUUAAUUGAUGCAAUGCUUCAGACACUGUGCACAAUUCAGGUGAAUUACAUGUGUAACUGAUAUAUUAAACAGUUUGUUUUUAAAUCACAGGCAAAAAAAUCACUGUAAAGCUUUUUAUGUACUCCAAUUUAUGCUGUAGUGGAAUAAAUAAAUAUAAAAAAGAA